CUGGGAGGCUUGUUUGCCGCCUCCCCAUUGGGGGUUGUGAGUCACGGAGCCGUGCCACAGCAACACACAAUCAGUUGCCUACCAAACUGCUUCAUCCCUCGCAACUCCUCUGUGUACCAGGGAGCCAUCUUAGAAGCAGGCCUGGAGGGAAGCUUAGGAGCAAUAAUAUCUACUGCUCUGGUUUUCUGCAGAUUUUGAAAGCAGAAAUGUAAUUGAGAUUCCUUGGGUGAUGUACCUUCCCCUGUUGCUGCAAUUCUUCAUCGUGUGGUGGCUACAAAUCAGUCUGCGGGUACAUUAUUGAUGAGGCAUCUGCUAAUAUUUCAUUUGAGAGAUGUGUGAUUUUUGUGGCAUUGGAGUGAAAACCUGGUUCCCAUUUUUCAGCCCUGUCAGCAGCAAGAGAUGCUUCCAUGGCACUUACUUAUUAUUAUUCAUAAACCAACACAUAAUUUUAUCAUAAACCCCACAAAAGAAUACAUGCUUAAGGUAUGUCUUGACUCCUCAACUAUGCGAAAAUAAAACUAUUAAUCACCUGAUGCAAUUGUAAGCAUGGGCUGUGAUCUAGAGAGAUGUGUGUGUGUCUGAACUUUUCUAACAGUUUCCAUUUCAAAG